UUGUCCAGAACUCAGUGACUUGGACCUCCUGACUCUAAAGCUGCUGGGAAGUGUAGUCUUCCUGUGAGCCCAGAGAGGAAGUGAACUAGGGAUCAGCAGAUACAGGGUCAUCUCUGCCACAGUUGGAGCUGGCUUUGAGACUUUAGCAACCAUACAAUUUUCAGGGGUGAGGAUGGUUGUUCUGGUUACUUAUUACCAUGUUAUAAACCAUCACAAAACCAAUAUACAAUUUGGGCAAAGCUCUGUGGGGACAGACUUCUGUUUCCCUCAGAUUUAGCAGGACUAGCACAGAAGCUGAGGGAUGAGUUAUUUGGAGGCCUGUUUGCUCACAUUUUUGUUCUGGAGAGUGGGAAGUCCAAGGAUGAAGAAUUUGCAUCUGGCUUACAUCCCUCUAUAUUUCGUCGUGGUCUUUCCAUGUGGUAUGUGCAGCAUGGAUACCUUACUGGGCAGCAUUACUUCUACAUGCAGCCUCACACCUCCAAAAUUGAUGUCUGAAAACAGCACAAGUUACAUGGCCUUUUCCAGCUUAUCCGUAGAAGUCAAUCCCACCCAUGACAUCAAGAGUUAAGUUCAUACAAGUGUUUCCUUUUCACACCUCUUGAAGGCUCCUCCUGAGUGCUUGGAUUACAGGCAUGUACAACCUUGUCUGAUUUUAUAAGGUGCUGCAGAUCGAACCCAGGACUUUGUGCAUGCUACACAGGUACUCUACCAACAGGGCUACAGCCUCAGCUAGGAGUAGACUCAUAAGAAGGAGACAGGAGAGCCAGACUCAGCAUACAUUGUGACUAUGGAAGCAGAAAAGGACCUGUGACAAUAGUACCACAGAUCAGAGUGAUGUGGGCCUGCUCUGGGUUGCAUGUGUCACCUGCCCAAAGGCUCUCAGUGUUAAAAGUUUGGACCCCGGCACAGCAUUCUUGGGAGGUGAAACAUGCACUUUUAAGAAGUGAGGCCCAGUGGGAACUCCUUUGGGAUUCCUUCUGCUUCCUGCUCAUGAGGUGGACUCUGUUUUGCCACAAACUCCUUGCCAUCACCACCCGGGACACUCACUGGAGGCUCAUCUGAUCUUGGACAGAAAUGCCCUAAAUUGCAAACCAAGAUAAAUCUUUUUUCUUUAUAAGAAAAUUAUCUCAGAUAUUUUGUCAUAGUGAUAGAAAGCUGACUAGCACAUAGGCCAAGAGCCAAAGUAUGCGGGUGACCUUUGGAAGCAGGGAAAGGCAAGGAAAUGGAUUCUCCGCUGGAGUCCCCAGAAGGAACACAGCCUUGCUGAUUCAUUUUGCUCUUCUGACAUCUAGGAGCUAACACGUUUGUGUCAUUUUAAGCCUCAAAGUUCAGGGGGAACAUAUUACAAGAGCACGAGGGAUUCUACACUGCUUCAAGAGCAGCUGAUGCCUGAUGGGUACAGGUUGGUAAUUAUCCCAGUGU